CUUGCAAUAUUUUUUCCCUCUAUCAUUUUUGUAUCAAUGAGCAGCUCAGAAGCCACGUCCAUGGCAAUGUCCAUAUCUGCAAAUGCUUUCAACUUGGGCACAACUACAGUUUCAUUCUCGGAGAAACUUUGGACCGAAAAUUUGGGGUUCCAACAGCUGAUAUGGGGCCUCAAACUCUCAGGGACCAGCACGUGUUUAGGUUGUAAUAUCUUUAGUAAAGGUAUAGCUUUCUUUAGCUUUAUUCCAGAGAUGAAUGAACAUUGAAGGACCUUCAUUGACAUUGGCUCAAAAGGCAACAAAGCCAACUUGAUAUCAGCUCUUUCCUCAAUGAUAAGCAACGAGUUAGGAUCUGCACACCAACGUUGAAGGAGAUGGAAAACAGGGCCAAGUCUCAAACUCCAGUGAGGACAGAAUACUAUGCAAGGUUCCUGCCAACUUGUUAGGAAUUUCGAAGAAUGUAUUGCAGGAGAUACGAAGAGUUUUUUCUCGUUUGACAGCUGAAUAUGCGUGAAUAGUGGUUGCCCAGAACAAAAUCUUUCUUGCAGUUGACUGGACAGCCAUUCAGGUAUGAUAUUGGAAAAUGCCAACAACUCUUCCGCCACAGAAGAAACGAAGUAUAUAGGAACCUUUAAAUUUGAAGAUUCUAGUGAAAGUGAUAUGUUCUCCAACAGCUGCAACAUGACUCCGGGCCGUCCAAUGGGAAUAAGGACUGAUCCUCCAUCACUAAUAGUGUCCAACACACAUGAACAUAUAAAAGAUACUUUUUCCAUCUCUUCAGAGUACUCAUCUGAAUCCAGCCACGAUUCAGGUAUUGUUUCCCAACAACUACCAAUAUUACUUGAAUAGGAACUGCCAGUAGCAGGAGGGAAAUCGUUCUUUUCACCAUCAACAUCAUUGCAGGCUGCGAAGUCUGAAUAUAAUAGAACAUCACUGUCUUCAAGAGCUUUGUAAUCGAAACUGGUUGCAGUUGCUGAUGCAAAAACAGAGCCAGAAAGAUAAAUAAUGUUUCCUUUUGGACUUAGAAUAUUCCAAUUACAAGCACCUAUCUCUAAACCAGAACUCAGUGCUUUUAUGGUCAAUGAGCCAUUAUAGCAGGCUUCUUCAGCAUACUUGAGGAAUUGAACCUUCUCCAUGCAACCCUUCAUAUCAGCUGUAUAUGGACAUCCAUCCACCGAGCUCUGUCCUGUCACUGCCUAAAACAAUAUCCUUUAGUGCCCUAGGAAGUAGUUCAAGUUUUUCCCAUGUCAUCCAUUGAGGGCAACCAGACUCUUCAGGUCCAUAGAAUUGUCUCAACUCCAUAUGCAUGGAAAUCAGGUCCUCCAUCAUCAGUUUUCCUAGUCUGGAAGCUGCUUCCGUUGCAUAUAUCUUUGCUCUGAAGUCUUUGAGGCGGGUAAGAAAAGGUAACCCUAGCAUACCCAUCGGACUUGAGAUUAGUACCACAUCUAUGGAAUAAAUACUCCAAAGCUGCAAACUUUUCACAGUUUUAUACCAAGGCUCAGCCUGAAUCAAUUUUUUGGAAUCAAGAAGCUCCGAAACUUCCUGUCUUACAGACUCUGAAUUUGAUGAACUUUGGCCGCUAUGAAUAGAAGCUUUCUCAUCAAGCAGGGAAGAAAUAACAAUUGGUAGGGGAGAAAAUACAGCUAGGGCUGAAAGGUCCAAAGGGCAGGGGCUACUAUUUCCCACCAUGCCACAUAGUUAAUAUAUGUGGUUUCCGGGUGUUACUUG
rnacentral:misc_RNA from 1 species